CAGCAGCCGCGGUAAUACGGAGGGGGCUAGCGUUGUUCGGAAUUACUGGGCGUAAAGCGCACGUAGGCGGCUUGGUAAGUUAGAGGUGAAAGCCCGGAGCUCAACUCCGGAAUUGCCUUUAAGACUGCCGAGCUAGCAGGUGAGAGAGGUAAGUGGAAUUCCGAGUGUAGAGGUGAAAUUCGUAGAUAUUCGGAAGAACACCAGUGGCGAAGGCGGCUUACUGGCUCAUACUGGACGCUGAGGUGCGAAAGCGUGGGGAGCAAACAGGAUUAGAUACCCCAGUAGUCCCUGUCUCUUAUAU
rnacentral:rRNA from 1 species